rnacentral:rRNA from 1 species
UGCAGUCGAGCGGAUGACGGGAGCUUGCUCCUUGAUUCAGCGGCGGACGGGUGAGUAAGCCAGGAAUCUGCCUGGUAGUGGGGGACAACGUUUCGAAAGGAACGCUAAUACCGCAUACGUCCUACGGGAGAAAGCAGGGGACCUUCGGGCCUUGCGCUAUCAGAUGAGCCUAGGUCGGAUUAGCUAGUAGGUGAGGUAAUGGCUCACCUAGGCGACGAUCCGUAACUGGUCUGAGAGGAUGAUCAGUCACACUGGAACUGAGACACGGUCCAGACUCCUACGGGAGGCAGCAGUGGGGAAUAUUGGACAAUGGGCGAAAGCCUGAUCCAGCCAUGCCGCGUGUGUGAAGAAGGUCUUCGGAUUGUAAAGCACUUUAAGUUGGGAGGAAGGGCAGUAAGCUAAUACCUUGCUGUUUUGACGUUACCGACAGAAUAAGCACCGGCUAACUCUGUGCCAGCAGCCGCGGUAAUACAGAGGGUGCAAGCGUUAAUCGGAAUUACUGGGCGUAAAGCGCGCGUAGGUGGUUCGUUAAGUUGGAUGUGAAAGC